rnacentral:rRNA from 1 species
CCUACGGGUGGCAGCAGUGAGGAAUAUUGGUCAAUGGACGAGAGUCUGAACCAGCCAAGUAGCGUGAAGGAUGACUGCCCUAUGGGUUGUAAACUUCUUUUAUAUGGGAAUAAAACGUUCCACGUGUGGGAUUUUGUAUGUACCAUAUGAAUAAGGAUCGGCUAACUCCGUGCCAGCAGCCGCGGUAAUACGGAGGAUCCGAGCGUUAUCCGGAUUUAUUGGGUUUAAAGGGAGCGUAGGUGGAUUGUUAAGUCAGUUGUGAAAGUUUGCGGCUCAACCGUAAAAUUGCAUUUGAAACUGGCAGUCUUGAGUACAGUAGAGGUGGGCGGAAUUCGUGGUGUAGCGGUGAAAUGCUUAGAUAUCACGAAGAACUCCGAUUGCGAAGGCAGUUCACUGGACUGCAACUGACACUGAGGCUCGAAAGUGUGGGUAUCAAACAGGAUUAGAUACCCUUGUAGUC